rnacentral:tRNA from 1 species
GUGGCCGUAGCUCAGUUGGUAGAGCCCCAGUUUGUGGAACUGGUUGUCGCGGGUUCAAGUCCCGUCGGUCACC